CGGCCUCCGUCGGACGGUCCCAUCCCCUCCGCCGAGUCCUCCGUUGAGCAGCUUAUUCCCAUAAAGCUAAGUCCUCUUUCUUAGUUCAUUUUAAUUAGCCCUUUUGAAGGAUAGAAGUUUCAGAGGAUUCUACUUUAUUGUUGGGAGUGUAAUCGAAAACGGUGGAGGAACCCGUUCCUUGUGUUCAAGUAAAAAUCGAUAGCUAGCAUCCUAUGAUUUUUUUUCAAAUACGGCAGUAGCUAUGUUCAAAGCUCUAUGGUUCUAAGUUCUCGUGCUAGCUAUGAUUUCUUAUCAUGAUGCAGAGGUUGGUUUAGUGAGGAUUACCUCUAAAAUUGACCGCUGCCUUGAUUCCUGCUCCUUGAGCUCCAAAUCCCACACUCCUAACUCCCUAUGUUGCUGAAUUUUUGAUGUGGUGUAAGGGAAGGUUGAGGGUGGUAAGGAGGGGUCUUUAUAGGUGAUUUGGUAACUGCAAAAUCUGCAACUCUUGAUCCUCUUGCAGGGACAUUUUUGUUGGUUGUGAGAGUGUACUCGUAUAUUCAGGUACUCAAGAAAGGGGCAGAGAUUGUUACUGCAGAUUGUCGCAGCUGGAAGGCAGACAUUGCAGGCUCAUUUGCCCCAUUGCAGCCUGCGGUUAAGGCUGGGAAAGGGCAGGGAUGGAAUAAGGACCCAUCAUGUCCGGCUGCUACCUUGAUGUUCUGAUCUCAACGGGCUGUCGAAGCUAGGCCGAAAUUCGGGCCUAAGGCAGAGCCCGAGACUUAGCAUUUCUACUUGUAAUAGAAUAGAGUCUUCCCUCUUGUUCUUUUUCAAGCUUUCUCUCAUUUCAAACAAAAAGUAUAGAAUUACUUCUCAAA